rnacentral:rRNA from 1 species
ACGAACGCUGGCGGCGUGCUUAACAUAUGCAAGUCGACGGGGCUCAGCAAUGGAGCACCGGCGAACGGGUGCGUAACACGUGAAGCGACCUGCCCUCGUGUGGGGGAUAGCCGGCCCUAACGGCCCGGGUAAUACCGCAUACGAUUCUCUUUGGGGAUGCCCUGGAGAUGAAAGCCUCCGGGGCGCACGGGGAGGGGCUUCGCGGCCUAUCAGCUAGUGGUGGCGGGGUAACGGGCCCACCAAGGCGACGACGGGUAGCUGGUCUGAGAGGAUGGCCAGCCACAUUGGGACUGAGAGAACGGCCCAGACUCCUACGGGAGGCAGCAGUGGGGAAUCUUGCGCAAUGGUCCGAAAGGACUGACGCAGCGACGCCGCGUGUGGGAUGACGCCCUUCGGGGUGUAAACCACUGUUGCCCGGGACGAACAAUGGCGGCAUUCAGUCAGCCUUGACGGUACCGGGUGAGGAAGCACCGGCUAACUCCGUGCCAGCAGCCGCGGUAAUACGGAGGGUGCGAGCGUUGUCCGGAAUCACUUGGGCGUAAAGGGCGCGUAGGCUGGCCUCUGUCAGGGUGCGUGGUGAAAGUCCGGGGCUCAACCCCGGCGUCGGCCAGUGAAGACUGCCGCGGCUGGAGCACUGUAGAGGCGAGGCGGAAUUCCGGGUGUAGCGGUGGAAUGCGUAGAGAUCCGGAAGAACACCGGUGGCGAAGGCGGCCUGCUGGGCAGUAGGCUGACAGCUGAGGCGCGACAGCGUGGGGAGCAAACAGGAUUAGAUACCCUGGUAGUCCACGCCGUAAACGAUGGGCACUAGGUCGCUUGGGGGAGCGACCCCUCCGAGUGCCGGCGCUAACGCAUUAGGUGCCCCGCCUGGGGAGUACGGCCGCAAGGCUGAAACUCAAAGGAAUUGACGGGGGCCCGCACAAGCGGUGGAGCAUGUGGUUUAAUUCGACGCAACGCGAAGAACCUUACCUAGGGCUUGACAUAGCACGGGAAACUCGUCCAGAAACGGCCGGCCCUCUUCGGAGUCCGUGCACAGGUGCUGCAUGGCUGUCGUCAGCUCGUGUCGUGAGAUGUUGGGUUAAGUCCCGCAACGAGCGCAACCCUCGCCCCUAGUUGCCAACGCGGUCAUGGCGGGGACUCUGAGGAGGACUGCCGGUGCCAAACCGGAGGAAGGUGGGGAUGACGUCAAGUCAUCAUGGUCCCUUACGUCUAGGGCUACACACGUGCUACAAUGGGCGGUACAAAGGGUCGCGAAGCCGCGACGGCGAGCCAAUCCCCGAAAAGCCCGGUCCUCAGUUCGGAUUGUCGUCUGCAACUCGACUGCAUGAAGCUGGAAUCGCUAGUAAUCGUGGAUCAGCUACGCCACGGUGAAUACGUUCCCGGGCCUUGUACACACCGCCCGUCACGCCAUGGAAGCUGUGAGCGCCCGAAGUCCGGUGUCGGAACCCGCAAGGGGACCAAGCGGCCGAAGGCGAGCGCAGUGACUGGGGCG